CUUAAAUCUUCAUUUGGAUCCACAUACAUGUGUCUGCAAUUGGAUUAGAUAAAUUGGAACUUCAGAAAAACGAGGAUUUAUUCAAGAAAAGAUAUAGCUCCUCACAUUACCUGGGCUUUACCAUGAAUUUGGAGGUGACAAUUGAAAAGCCAUCUGGCUGCAAUGUACAAGAUGGUUUGGAAAAGGCAAAGCCAGAGAAGUACAGACAAUCUCAAGACGGAGAAUUCUUGACUUACGAACUUGAUCUUGUGACUGUUGUCUCAGAACAAAU